AUUGAACGCUGGCGGCAUGCUUUACACAUGCAAGUCGAACGGCAGCACGGGGGCAACCCUGGUGGCGAGUGGCGAACGGGUGAGUAACACAUCGGAACGUGUCCAGUUGUGGGGGAUAACCCAUCGAAAGGUGGGCUAAUACCGCAUGAGCUGGCAACAGGAAAGCGGGGGACCCGCAAGGGCCUUGUGCGAUUGGAGCGGCCGAUGUCCGAUUAGCUAGUUGGUGGGGUAAAGGCCUACCAAGGCUUCGAUCGGUAGCUGGUCUGAGAGGAUGAUCAGCCACACUGGGACUGAGACACGGCCCAGACUCCUACGGGAGCAGCAGUGGGGAAUUUUGGACAAUGGGGGCAACCCUGAUCCAGCCAUGCCGCGUGAGUGAAGAAGGCCU
rnacentral:rRNA from 1 species